UAAACUGUAAUACUUUCGCCAUGAUCGUCGAAUCCGAACUAACGUUGGAGAAAUUGUUAAAACCGUAGUUUCAGAGGGAUAUGGGAUUAACAGGGACUGUCGCCUCUCGCUCACCACUGAGUUGCAGCACGGAACACUGCCUCUCAAGUGCAAAGGGUUAAAAAUUUACGAGAAACGGUGCAUCUCGUUCCAGCAGAUUGUGUACAUUUCUACGAUAAUUUCAAUAGCGACAGUAGGAUUGUUAGAGUAUAUAAUCUGAAUAAUACCAAUCCACAAAAAAUCAUUAUAGGUAGGUAGGGUUCUGCACAAAAGAGUCCAAUUAUCCAUUAUAUGAACAAGUCUCAACAUUUGGUGGAAAAGUUUUCAACGCCUAUUUAAUAUGCUAAUUCUUCAGUACACUAAUUUUUUACUAAAUAUACAAGCUGUUUGCAAAAUUUUAGUACAAACGGAAAGAAGACUCCGAAGAUUAUCUCCAUCUAAAAAAAAGCCGAAUUUGAAUAUUCGUUAAGAACGAAAUACCUAUAUGAACUAUACGACUCCAUUAAAAAAAAGAAAAGCGUGUCACCUUCGUAUGACCUCUACUUGGCUGUCUACAAAAAAGCUAAUUACACCGGAUUAUGUCUGCUCCGAUACCAUACAACCUCUGGAAGCUGGUGCAUGUGCAAUUGAUGAGUAAUUUAGCUCUUGAAAUUUGAUAUUGUAAGAUUGAUAAAUCGCUAGCAAAAUUGUGAGAUGCUAAGAAAUAUGUAAAAUCAGUUCUCAGUUCCGAGGCCUCCGAAUCCUCAGUUCUAGGAAAAUAUUUUCAAAAAAGAAGCAGCGACUGAUCAACUUUAUCAAUAUAGGCGAAAUAAAAGACAAAAGACAAUUUUUCAGCGAGACUGAAGCGACUUUGAAGCUUUCAAAAUUUCCGGAUAGAAUACGAAAGUUUAUAAUUAGAGGAAGCUACCUGUGGAAAAUAUCGCACAACUUGGAAAAAAGGUAAAUUCCCGCGUGGGCGGAUAUUC
rnacentral:lncRNA from 1 species